rnacentral:rRNA from 1 species
GAUGAACGCUGGCGGCGUGCCUAAUACUUGCAAGUCGAGCGAACAGACGAGGAGCUUGCUCCUCUGACGUUAGCGGCGGACGGGUGAGUAACACGUGGAUAACCUACCUAUAAGACUGGGAUAACUUCGGGAAACCGGAGCUAAUACCGGAUAAUAUAUUGAACCGCAUGGUUCAAUAGUGAAAGACGGUUUUGCUGUCACUUAUAGAUGGAUCCGCGCCGCAUUAGCUAGUUGGUAAGGUAACGGCUUACCAAGGCAACGAUGCGUAGCCGACCUGAGAGGGUGAUCGGCCACACUGGAACUGAGACACGGUCCAGACUCCUACGGGAGGCAGCAGUAGGGAAUCUUCCGCAAUGGGCGAAAGCCUGACGGAGCGACGCCGCGUGAGUGAUGAAGGUCUUCGGAUCGUAAAACUCUGUUAUUAGGGAAGAACAAAUGUGUAAGUAACUAUGCACGUCUUGACGGUACCUAAUCAGAAAGCCACGGCUAACUACGUG